rnacentral:rRNA from 1 species
AUUGAACGCUGGCGGCAGGCCUAACACAUGCAAGUCGAGCGGAGCGGGGGACGGGUGAGUAAGGCCUAGGAAUCUGACUGGGCGUGGGGGAUGACGACCGGAAACGGGCGCUAAUACCGCAUACUAUCAGAUGAACAUGGGUCGGAUUAGCUAGUUGGUGGGGGAAGGGCCUACAAAGGCGACGAUCCGUAGCUGGGCUGAGAGGAUGACCAGUCACACGGGAACUGAGACACGGUCCAGACUCCUACGGGAGGCAGCAGUGGGGAAUAUUGCACAAUGGGCGAAAGCCUGAUCCAGCCAUGCCGCGUGUGUGAAGAAGGUCUUCGGAUUGUAAAGUACUUUAAGUUGGGAGGCGUUACCAACAGAAUAAGCACCGGCUAACUUCGUGCCAGCAGCCGCGGUAAUAC